GUCAGCUCGUGUCGUGAGAUGUUGGGUUAAGUCCCGCAACGAGCGCAACCCUUGUCAUUAGUUGCCAUCAUUAAGUUGGGCACUCUAAUGAGACUGCCGGUGACAAACCGGAGGAAGGUGGGGAUGACGUCAAGUCAUCAUGCCCCUUAUGACCUGGGCUACACACGUGCUACAAUGGACGGUACAACGAGAAGCGAACCUGCGAAGGCAAGCGGAUCUCUUAAAGCCGUUCUCAGUUCGGACUGUAGGCUGCAACUCGCCUACACGAAGCUGGAAUCGCUAGUAAUCGCGGAUCAGCACGCCGCGGUGAAUACGUUCCCGGGCCUUGUACACACCGCCCGUCACACCAUGAGAGCCGGGGGGACCCGAAGUCGGUAGUCUAACCGCAAGGAGGACGCCGCCGAAGGUAAAACUGGUGAUUGGGGUGAAGUCGUAACAAGGUAGCCGUAGGAGAACCUGCGGCUGGAUCACCUCCUUUCUAAGGA
rnacentral:rRNA from 1 species